rnacentral:tRNA from 1 species
GGCUACGUAGCUCAGUUGGUUAGAGCGCAGCACUCAUAAUGCUGAGGGCACAGGUUCAAAUCCUGUCGUAGCUA